rnacentral:rRNA from 1 species
CAAGAAUAUUAGUCAAUGCUCGCAAGAGUGAACUAGCUAACUGAAAUCACAAUAUUAAAGUCUAGACAGCUCUAGUAGAGUGAUAAGGUAAGGGAAAAAAAUGAUACCACCUUACUAAAAGUGUUGUCCAAAGCUGGUGCCAGAAGACUCGGUAAGGCCAGAAACACAAACGUUAAUCACAUUGAUCAGGCGUAAAGGGUUCGUAGGCAGCUUGAAAUUUAUAAAUUUAUAAGCUUUAUUAAAUAUUACAAAAAUUUAAUUUAAAUUUAUAAGGAGUAGAGAUAUAAUCAAAAAUAGGAUUAGAUGAUAAAUGCUUAGAGUAGGAUUAAUUACCGUAGAUACUAAGUGGAGUACUUAUGGCGUAAGCUAUUUUUCCAAUAAUGAUAGAAGCUAAGGGACGAAGGUUUGAACAGAAAAUAGGAUUUGAUACCCAGAUAUCUCUUACUGUCAACGAUGAAUGGUAGUUGUUAGUUAAAUACUUAACUAGUUUCGAUGUUAACGCGUUAACCAUUCCGCCUUGAGAGUACGGUUGCAAAGCUGAAACCAAAAAAAUUAGUCGGUCUCGAAGCAAACGAAGUGAAGCAUGUUAUUUAAUUCCAUAAAU